UAACUAUUACAAUUUGGCAUUUAAAUGCCUUUAAAAUGAUCAAAAAUAAAUUAAAAUAAAUAUACAAAAUUAAAACAAAAAAAGUAACUAAAUGAAUAAAUGAAAUAAAAUAAAAGCAUUUAAAAAGCAUGCAAUUACACACAUAAAAUCACAUAGGAGCACAUAGGGUCAAAUAAAAUCAAAAUAAAGGAGUAGAGUAUACCUCCCUUGAAUCGGUGACAUAAUGAAAUGGAAUUACUCUCUUUUUACUCUCCAAUACGAAAAAAAUGAUUAAGGUACCACUUUAAUUAACAAAUAAUCAUAAGAGAUGAAAAUAAACAUGAAAUUGAACAAUUAAAACAUUUAAAUGAAAGUAAACAACCCAUAUUCAAGAAAUCAAAACAUGCAAGGACCUAAUUGAAACAAUUAAAGAAGUUUUAGGGGUCAAAUCAUUAUUGUUACAAAUGUUAGGGUCUAAAUUAAAAUAAAAUAAAAUUAAGGGAUUAAGAUGAAGCCUAUCAAAGCCAAAUGCUAAAAUUCACAAAAAUAAAUCAAAACCCUCUCACCAAACCCCAAACAAAAAAUAUUACCCAAACCUAAAUCAUUUUUCAAAAAUCCAAAUAAAAAACUAUGAAUCUAUCAAAAAUUGUUAAACUUUCAAAUUUCAUCCCCAAAACUCAUGAAUAAUCUGUCCAAAAAUCACAUUAAAACAUGCCAAAGAAAGAUAUCAUGUUAAAAGGAUAAAAUUGAUUUUACUUUCCAAUUUUCUGAGCCAUAGUAGAAUAAGGGGAAACUUGAGGGGUUAAAGCGCAAUUUAUGAAACCUUUCAUGCAUCUUCUUCGCAGAAAGCUAUUCUUCUUCUUCGCUGGUUCUGGGUUCAUUCGAAACAAGCUUGGGAAUCUCAUGCUGCACUCUUAAAAAAAAUCCAAUCUCAAGUACUUGUCAAACUCCCUAAACCCCUCACCAAGAUGUAAUACUAAACACACAAAAGGAAAAAUCCGAGCUGAGGAGAAACUUGCAAGACCCCAGGUUCGUUCAUUGGUUUCAAGUUUCUGGGUUUUCAUGUCAAAAUCAAACAAGCACCAUACUUUCAAGCCAAGACAACAAUCAAACUCGAAUCUUGUACUUUGCACUCCUAAGAAUUCUUAGACCCAAAUUACACACACAAACAAGGACCAAAGACGCGACCUUUAGUUCAUCAGAUUACAUAUGCGGGAAACCCUAUCUGUUAAUGGCUCCUCGAUUGAAUUCUUAGUUCAGAUUCACAUUAAAUGAACAAAGGGACCGCCACCAAGCUUAUCAACAGCAGAACAACAUUACCAAGCAUAACCACAGUCAUCGUCAUCAAACAUUGGCAACCACAGAAACUUAGAAAAGGAAGAACAUCAUGCAUAGGGAACCCAAAGCUCUAUGAAAAUUGUAUUAAACCAAGAGUCCACGAUUACCUGAGAGCACCAAAGCUGUUAAACGAACGUAAAAUGCCCUGAGAAGCCGAGCGGUUCUGGAAAAUGCAACUCAAGAACUGUGUUGCAGAAGAUUUCAGUGCUGAUGGAGAUGCUAUUUUGGGUCCCGAUUUGAGAGGCUCAGAGAGGUUGUUUUGGAGAGAUCCCUGAAUGAAAGUUCGAAUAUUCCUUGCCAAUAUAGUACAGAAAUCAAGUGUUCACUCAAAAAGCUAAGAGCUUUUUCAUAAUUUUCCACGAAACCAGGCUGGUUCGUCAGCCUGGUGAUGAAUUUUUGCAGCAAAUUUUCUCUUUUUUCCUACUCGAUCGUCCUUCUUUUCUCCUCUCUCCCACUCUUUCUCUUUCCUUUCUGUCUUUUAUCUGAAGUUUCUGUUCUUCCCCCCAGAUCCUUCCUUCUUGCUUUUGUUUCUUUCCCCGUAGCUCUCUCCUUUUCCCUUUCUCUCUUGCUUUUUCUUCUUUUGUUUUCCCCCCUGCCUGUAGCCUCUAUUCUUUCUUCCCUUUUUCAAACCCCAAAACCCU
rnacentral:lncRNA from 1 species